AUUUGAUUUGACCGCGCAGGGAUGCUGACCUGGAUCACCGAGCAACCUACCUUGGAAAAAAACACAGGAUUUAGUGAAAGGUUUUAGAGAGUUGAAAAAAAAAAGAAUGAAUGUUGUCACAGAAAGUGGAACAAGACAUGAGUGAAAGCAAUGGUGGGUCAGACAGAAAUAACACAGAUGUUGAGAGCAGGAGAAACAGUGUUGGAGUGGGCGGGUCAGCUGACCUCUUGGUCCACCACUGAAAAGACAUAACGGACACAAUGUAUUUCUAUCGGGAGGUAAGGGACUCUGGCACUCAAAUACAGUUGUAUUAUGUCAGUGAGGCAGAGGUGGAAAGUAAGGCACAGAGGAUUUCUGGGGUACCUCUGGUCACCAUAAAAGGAAAGUGUAUCGUGCCUGGCAUCCUCAAAUACAGAGACAGUUGUCUCUGCCAAGCAGCGCAUAGCAUGUGGGAUUGCCCAUGUUAUAGACUCCAAGAAAUCACAGCCCCGGCUAAUGGCCAUGGUCUCUCAGCUCCACUUUGUCCAGAUGUCGCCGACCCAGAUAUCUCAGCUCCGCUUUGUCCAGAUGUCGCCGACCCAGAUACCUCAGCUCCACUUUGUCCAGAUGUCAUCGACCCAGAUAACUCAGCUCCGCUUCGUCCAGAUGUCAUCGACCCAGAUACCUCAGCUCCGCUUCAUCCAGAUACCUCAGCUCCACUUUGUCCAGAUGUCAUCGACCCAGAUACCUCAGCUCCACUUCGUCCAGAUGUCGCCGACCCAGAUACCUCAGCUCCACUUCGUCCAGAUGUCAUCGACCCAGAUACCUCAGCUCCACUUCGUCCAGAUGUCGCCAACCCAGAUACCUCAGCUCCACUUCGUCCAGAUGUCAUCGAGGCUCACCACACUGGACAGUGGUGCAUUGUGAACUAGGAUGAACAACCAUACCCUGGCGUUAUACUGGAGGUCAAAGAACAAAAGGUCAAAGUGCAUGCACAGGAAUGGAGUCAACAAGCCCAAGAGAUGAUAAACUGGUAUGGGGAUGUUCAGAUUGUGUGUCUGAUGCAAUACCUGCUGCCAGUGAACAAAAGGUCAUCUCAGAUUUACCACAGUAUCUGGAAGUAAUUGGAGGACCACCUGAAUGUGUGAAAGUGGCAGAUGUGAACUGGCCAGCAGAGAAGAAGCCGUCAGUGGCUAGAAAGCAAUGGAGACUGUCCCGGAAAUGAUAAGAUGGACUUGACACGAUAAUAUGGGAAAGACAAACUUUUGUAAAGACAAACAUAAAGACAAACAUCAAGUAAAAGUGAAGUUAGUAUGGGAAAUAAUUAGUAGGGGAAAAGUUAGUACAGAAAAUAGGCCAAUUCCAUGAACAUGUUUUACUGCAUACAAUAUGUUAAUAUCAGUGCUUUUGGAAAAACUGUCUUAGUUUACAUUCAAUGUUGUUUCUAUUGUUCUUGUUUCUAGUUCUAAUAGAGAUAUUAUGUUUCUAGUUCUAAUAGAGAUAUUAUGUUUCUAUAGUUCUAAUAGAGAUAUUAUGUUUCUAUAGUUCUAAUAGAGAUGUUAUGUUUCUAUAGUUCUAAUAGAGAUGUUAUGUUUCUAUAGUUCUAAUAGAGAUGUUAUGUUUCUAUAGUUCUAAUAGAGAUGUUAUGUUUCUAUAGUUCUAAUAGAGAUGUUAUGUUUCUAUAGUUCUAAUAGAGAUAUGUUUCUAUAGUUCUAAUAGAGAUAUGUUUC
ensembl:lncRNA